rnacentral:rRNA from 1 species
GGUCAGAUGAGGAAAUGCAUUGUGCUUCGGGAGGGCCUCGCGGCCUAUCAGCUUGUUGGUGGGGUAACGGCCCACCAAGGCGUCGACGGGUAGCUGGUCUGAGAGGACGAUCAGCCACACUGGGACUGAGACACGGCCCAGACUCCUACGGGAGGCAGCAGUUAGGAAUCUUGCGCAAUGGGCGAAAGCCUGACGCAGCAACGCCGCGUGGGGGAUGAAGGCCCUCGGGUUGUAAACCCCUUUCAGUCGGGACGAAAAUGACGGUACCGACAGAAGAAGCCCCGGCCAACUACGUGCCAGCAGCCGCGGUGACACGUAGGGGGCAAGCGUUGUCCGGAUUUAUUGGGCGUAAAGGGCUCGUAGGCGGUUCGACAAGUCGGGUGUGAAACCUCCAGGCUCAACCUGGAGUCGCCGCUCGAAACUGUUGUGACUAGAGUCCGGUAGAGGAGCAUGGAAUUUGUGGUGUAGCGGUGGAAUGCGCAGAUAUCACAAGGAACACCAGUAGCGAAGGCGAUGCUCUGGGCCGGUACUGACGCUGAGGAGCGAAGGCAGGGGGGAGCGAACAGGGAUUAGGAUACCCCUG